GCCGGCAGCGCCUUCCAACCCUGAGCCCAUCCCGAGGAGCCCUGGGAGGCCCAAGAGCCCGCACCACGCCCAGCCCGACCCUUCCAAUCUUCCCUGCACUGCCGCUGCCCGCUGGGGACCAGUUCCCACGCGCCUGUCCCACCCCAGCCCUGUGUUACAAUUUUUCGUUUGGUCUUAGGUCUUCCCAUGGCUCCCUCUCUCCUGGACUGGUUAUUCUUGUUAUUAUUGUUAAUAAUAAUAAUAAUAAUUAUUAUUAUUAUUUCCCCUCCGUGCUCCCCACUUCUCUUGGCUCGCCCCCAAGUUGCCAGUGUUUCUGAAUGUCCUCGUGUCUGUGGUUGCGCUCCUUUCCCCAGGAAAAAGAAAAGAAAAAGAAAUUCGCAUGUUUAAUGUGACUUCCCACUCCCUGUCUGUGUUCUAACUUAUUUAUAAAAGGAUGAUGGCUGU
rnacentral:lncRNA from 1 species